UGCAGUCGCAGGGGAUUUGGAGCUUCGGCUCUGAUGAGACUGGCGCACGGGUGAGUAACACGUAAGCAAUCUGCCUACAGGAGGGGGAUAACUUCAGGAAACCGGAGCUAAUACCGCAUGAUGCAGCGGGGCCGCAUGGCCAUGGUUGUUAAAGCCUUUCGGGGUACCUGUAGAUGAGCUUGCGUUGCAUUAGCUAGUUGGUGAGGUAACGGCUCACCAAGGCGAUGAUGCAUAGGGGGUCUGAGAGGAUGAUCCCCCACACUGGCACUGAGACACGGGCCAGACUCCUACGGGAGGCAGCAGUGAGGAAUAUUGCGCAAUGGGCGAAAGCCUGACGCAGCCACGCCGCGUGCCGGAAGACGGUCCUAUGGAUUGUAAACGGCUUUUGUCAGGGAAGAACCGGCUGGAUUCGUCCGGCUCUAACGGUACCUGAUGAAUAAGCACCGGCUAACUCCGUGCCAGCAGCCGCGGUAAUACGGAGGGUGCAAGCGUUGUCCGGAUUUAUUGGGUGUAAAGGGUGCGUAGGCGGGUCUUUAAGUCUGGGGUGAAAUCCUGCGGCUCAACCGUAGAACUGCCUCAGAUACUGGAGAUCUUGAGUAUGACAGAGGUCGGCGGAAUUCGUAGUGUAGCGGUGAAAUGCUUAGAUAUUACGAAGAACACCAGUGGCGUAGGCGGCCGGCUGGGUCAUAACUGACGCUGAGGCACGAGAGCGUGGGGAGCAAACAAGAUUAGAUACCCUGGUAGUCCACGCCGUAAACGAUGUAUACUAGGUGUUGGUCCCAUUGGGAUCAGUGCUGCAGCUAACGCAUUAAGUAUACCACCUGGGGAGUACGUUCGCAAGAAUGAAACUCAAAGGAAUUGACGGGGGGCCCGCACAAGCGGUUGGAGCAUGUGGCUUUAAUUCGAUGCAACGCGAAGAACCUUACCUGGGCUAAAUCACAUUGGGAAGAUUCGGGGAAACCGGGAUUGCUCUUCCGAAGCCCGGUGUGAAAGGUGCUUGCAUGGGCUUGU
rnacentral:rRNA from 1 species